GGGCACAGCCGUGCUAAAAAAUAACCGCCCGAAGGCCGGGGCGCCAUGUUCGUCCAGCGGAAAAACGCCACAAAAACGGGUGGGCUAUAGCCUUUGGGGGUGGGGCUGGGCAACUUCGUCCGCCGGACUCGGAAUGGCGCGAGACUUUGCGAGCCGCCUCCGUGUGCCAAAAAUAGGCCACGGACACAGCCGCGCUCAAAAAUAACUGCCCGAAGGCCGGGGCGCCAAGUUCGUCCCGCGGAAAAAGGCGACAAAAACGGGUGGGCUAUAGCCUUGGGGGGUGGGGCUGGCCGACUUCGUCCGCCGGACUCGGAAUGGCGCGAGACUUUGCGAGGCGCCUCCGUGUCACAAAAAUAGGCUGUGGGCGCAGCCGCGCUAAAAAAUAACCGCCCGAAGGCUGGGGCGCGAAGUUCGUCCAGCGGAAAAAGGCCAGAAAAACGGGUGGGCUAUAGCCCUGGGGGGUGGGGCUGGCCAACUUCGUCCGCCGGACUCGGUAUGGCGCGAGACAUUGUGAGCCGCCUCCGUGUGCCAAAAAUAGGCCACGGACACAGCCGCGCUCAAAAAUAACCGCCCGAAGGCCGGGGCGCCAAGUUCGUCCCGCGGAAAAAGGCCACAAAAACGGGUGGGCUAUAGCCUUGGGGGGUGGGGCUGGCCAACUUCGUCCGCCGGACUCGGAAUGGUGCGAGACUUUGCGAGGUGCCUCCGUGUGAUAAAAAUAGGCUGUGGGCAAAGCCGCACCCAAAAAUAACAGCCCGAAGGCCGGGACGCCAAGUUCGUUCAGCGGAAAAAGGCCACAAAAACGGGUGGGCUAUAGCCUUGGGGGGUGGGGCUGGCCAACUUCGUCCGCCGGACUCGGAAUGGCGCGAGACUUUGCGAGGCGCCUCCGUGUGACAAAAAUAGGCUGUGGGCAUAGCCGCACUAAAAAAUAACCGCCCGAAGGCCAGGGCGCGAAGUUCGUCCAGCGGAAAAACGCCACAAAAACGGGUGGGCUAUAGCCUUGGGGGGUGGGGCUGGCCAACUUCGUCCGCCGGACUCGGAAUAGCGGGAGACUUUGCGAGGCACCUCCAUGUACCAAAAAUAGGCUACGGGCACAGCCGCGCCCAAAAAUAACCACCCGAAGGCCGGGGCGCCAAGUUCGUCCAGCGGAAAAAGGCCAGAAAAACGGGUGGGCUAUAGCCCUGGGGGGUGGGGCUGGCCAACUUCGUCCGCCGGACUCGGAAUGGCGCGAGACUUUGCGAGUCACCUCUGUGUGCCAAAAAUUAGCCGCGGGCACAGCCGCGCCCAAAAAUAACCGCCGGAAGGCCGGGGCGCCAAGUUCGUCCAGCGGAAAAAGGCCAGAAAAACGGGUGGGCUAUAGCCCUGGGGGGUGGGGGUGGGGCUGGCCCACUUCGUCCGCCGGACUCGGAAUGGCGGGAGACUUUGCGAGGAACCUCCAGGUGCCAAAAAUAGGCUACGGGCACGGCCGCGCCCAAAAAUAACCACCCGAAGGCCGGGGCGUCAAGUUCGUCCAGCGGAAAAAGGCCAGAAAAACGGGUGGGCUAUAGCCCUGGGGGGUGGGGCUGGCCUACUUCGUCCGCCGGACUCGGAAUGGAGCGAGACUUUGCGAGUCACCUCUGUGUGCCAAAAAUAGGCCGCGGGCACAGCCGCGCCCAAAAAUAACCGCCGGAAGGCCGGGGCGCCAAGUUCGUCCAGCGGAAAAAGGCCGCAAAAACGGGUGGGCUAUAGCCUUGGGGN
rnacentral:lncRNA from 1 species